UCGAUAAAUAAAUAUCAAGCCUGGAAACUUGAUAUCGUAACGGACUGAAUGUUAUGUUUUUAACUAAUCUUUGCUCGUCUUGCGGGGCGCAGGUGUUAUGCCGAGAAAUGCCUGCCGAGAAUUAGCUGCGCGCCCUGUCGCGGGAGCGCGCAUCGCUCUAAACUCUCCAUAUUGAUGAGAAAACGGACUGAAAUCUGACCGAAGAGGAAACUUUUAAAGAUAUUCGUAACAUGAUCACGUUUCUUAACCAUGUAAGCCAUAAGCCAUAAAACGGUGGGUUUUAUUUCGCAGAUUAAUUGAAAUAAAUACGGUUUUUAUAGCUUUAUUGAAACAUAUGAGUCAAACGUUUUUCAGUGUCUGAUGAAAAUGUUCUCCGCAGAUGGUUUGAAAUUCCCCGAUUUUUCUUUUAACACAAUAAUGGCUUAAAGCAUUACAAAACAGAAGCCCGUUAUGUAGAAUAUUUUAUAUCAUCCUUUACUGUCUAGUCUAUUAAUGUAGUGGGAAGCAUUUUAAUUUCUGAGCCUGCCAAUAUUUGUAUCCUCUGUCUAUUGUCCUGUUGAUAUGAAACUUACAGAAGUAGCUCAGAGAACAAGUGUCAUUAUGUAGAAAAGGUCAAAUCCCUCUUAACUCUUUAUUUCUCCAUUUUAGCAGGGGAUGCAUUUUACGGCAAAGCCUAUUAUUAGCCUGCCGAUAUCUGCAUGCCCUGUCUAUUUUCCUCAAAUAUUAUCCUAUUGAUAUGAAAUUCAUACCAGUAGCUAAGAGGAUAAGUGUAAUUAUGUAGAAAAGAUAAAAUCCCUCUUGACUCUUUAUUUUUUCAAGCUAGGAGGGGGAUGCAUUUUUUGGCAAUAUGGAAUUUGAGCCUGCCAAUAUUUGCAUGCCAUACCUAUUUUCCCCAAAUAUCAUCCUAUUGAUAUAAAACUCAUCCCAGCAGUUAUGGGAACAAAUGUGAUUAUGUAGAAAAUGUUAUUUCUUUAUUAUCGCUAUUGCAAGGAUACUGAAGGAAAUAAAUCUGACAAUGCAUCUUUGCUAAAUGUAAAGCAUGCACAAACCAUUUUUAUUUUGGUUUAACAUAAAAAUUAAAUCACUUUUUUAGUAAUUUCAACAAAAGAAUAUUCAUAACAAUAGGUUUCCUUAACUCACUUGGAGAGUCCCAAAAAGAUGUGAAGAGGUGCUUGGAAGUAACAAGGUGAGAAAAACAAGAACAAUUAUUGUUUAUUAUAACAAAAAAUGUCAUAAUUGGAUAACUAGAAUGUUAAUUUAACAUUUUAUCCUCUCAACAAGGACAUUUAUGAGAAGCAAAGGGAUGAAAGUGUCAAUGUGGAAAUGUGAAACAGUAUAACAUGCCAUCCAGGAAGAUGUGGUUUCAUGUGGUGUGUUUGCGCUUAAAUUUGCAGAGUGCAUACUGGAAAACAAGGACCUGAACUUUCCAUCAACAGCAGAAGCUGUUAAUCCAUGAGACUCAACAUUUCUUCCACACUUCUCUCAGAAUCAGAAUCAGUGGAGACUCUACAGACUCUGCAGACACUGUGGCAGUGAGGACACAGAAGAUCACAUGUGGAUCACAUGUGACAGAUGCAACUGGUGGUACCACCAAGGCUGCAUUAAGGUCCCACAAACCGACACAGACUGCUGCUGUGCAAAGUGUUUAUAGAUUUUAUGUUUGUACCAAUCUAAUUCGUUAAUGACUGCAGUUCA